AUUGAACGCUGGCGGCAUGCCUUACACAUGCAAGUCGAACGGUAACAGGGCUUCUGCUGCUGCCGAAUGGCGAACGGGUGAGUAAUACACCGGAACGUGCCCAGACUGGGGGGGUAACGAAGCGAAAGCUUUGCUAAUAUAGCACACGAUCUAAGGAUGAGAUCCGGGGGCCUCACGGACUUGCUCGUUUUGAGCGGCCGCUGGGUGGUUCGGUAGUUGGUGGGAUAAAAGCUUACCAAGCCGACGCUCUGCAGCUGGUCUGAGAGGAAGACCAGCCACACUGGAACUGAGACACGGCCCAGACUCCUACGGGAGGCAGCAGUGGGGAAUUUUGGACAAUGGGCGAAAGCCUGAUCCAGCAAUGCCGCGUGCAGGAUGAAGGCCUUCGGGUUGUAAACUGCUUUUGUACGGAACGAAAAGGAUCUGGCUAAUACCUGGGGAACAUGACGGUACCGUAAGAAUAAGCACCGGCUAACUACGUG
rnacentral:rRNA from 1 species